rnacentral:rRNA from 1 species
GACGAACGCUGGCGGCGUGCCUAAUACAUGCAAGUCGAACGAGAGCGACCGGUGCUUGCACUGGUCAAUCUAGUGGCGAACGGGUGAGUAACACGUGGGUAACCUGCCCAUCAGAGGGGGAUAACAUCCGGAAACGGAUGCUAAAACCGCAUAGGUCUUCGAACCGCAUGGUUUGAUGAGGAAAAGAGGCGCAAGCUUCUGCUGAUGGAUGUACCCGCGUUGCAUUUGCUAGUUGGUGAGGUAACGGCUCACCAAGGCCGUGAUGCAUAGCCGACCUGAGAGGGUGAUAGGCCACAUUGGGACGGAGACAGGGACAAAACUACUAAGAGAGGCAGCAGAAGGGAAUCUUACGCAAUGGACGCAAGUCUGACGGAGCAACGGCGCGUGAGUGAAGAAGGUGUUCGGAGCGUAAAACUCUGUUGUGAGAGAAGAACAAGUGCUAGAGUAACUGUUAGCGCAUUGACGGUAUCUAACCAGAAAGCCACGGCUAACUACGUG